AACGAACGCUGGCGGCAUGCCUAACACAUGCAAGUCGAACGAGACCUUCGGGUCUAGUGGCGCACGGGUGCGUAACGCGUGGGAACCUGCCCUUAGGUUCGGAAUAACUCCCCGAAAGGGGUUCUAAUACCGGAUAAUGUCUUCGGACCAAAGAUUUAUCGCCUUGGGAUGGGCCCGCGUUGGAUUAGCUAGUUGGUAGGGUAAAAGCCUACCAAGGCGACGAUCCAUAGCUGGUCUGAGAGGAUGCUCAGCCACACUGGGACUGAGACACGGCCCAGACUCCUACGGGAGGCAGCAGUGGGGAAUAUUGGACAAUGGGCGAAAGCCUGAUCCAGCAAUGCCGCGUGAGUGAUGAAGGCCUUAGGGUUGUAAAGCUCUUUUACACGGGAUGAUAAUGACAGUACCGGGAGAAUAAGCUCCGGCUAACUCCGUG
rnacentral:rRNA from 1 species